UUUGUACCGUCUCUGGGAGUGGAAGGGAGGUGGUAGCGGCAGCUGAGGCAGCGAGGAGGUUCCAGAAGCUUUCGGAUUCUCGCGGCAUAGUUAGGGAUUUAACUGCCACCAUGUUGAGCAAAAGAGCAAAGACCAAGACCACCAAGAAGCGCCCCCAGCGCGCGACCUCCAACGUGUUCACCAUGUUUGACCAGUCCCAGAUUCAGGAGUUUAAGGAGGCCUUCAAAAUGAUCGACCAGAACAGGGACGGGUUCAUCGACAAGGAAGACUUGCAUGACAUGCUUGCUUCCCUGGGAAAAAAUCCAACUGAUGAGUAUCUGGAUGCCAUGAUGAAUGAGGCUCCAGGUCCCAUAAAUUUUACCAUGUUUCUCAUGAUGUUUGGUGAAAAGUUAAAUGGCACAGAUCCAGAUGUCAUCAGAAAUGCUUUUGCUUGCUUUGAUGAAGAAGCAACUGGCACCAUUCAGGAGGAUUACCUGAGAGAACUGCUGACCACAAUGGGAGACCGGUUUACAGAUGAGGAAGUGGACGAGCUGUACAGAGAAGCACGUAUUGACAAAAAGGGAAAUUUCAAUUACAUCGAGUUCACGCGCAUCCUUAAGCAUGGAGCGAAAGACAAAGACGACUAAAAAGAACUUCAAAUUCCAGCCAAACGUUCCUUGUUGCCACUCUGGGUAUUUCUGAGACUUUCUCUUAGAGCCUAUUGCAUGCCCUUAGCUUUACAGCUUCUGCCUUUCUUGUUGUAUUUAUUCUCAGCCAUUUGGGGCACAUGCAUCUCUAUAAUCAGACUGGAUGUGGGACUUCUUGUCAUUUUAAGAAUAGAAAAUAGGGUAAUUUAACUUACCAGCUGCCGUCUACCCUCCCCGCCCCCAGUAACUGCAGUCUACAGAGUCAAUAUAUUUUUUCAGAGAAGGUUAUUCACUCAAUUUUUUCUGAACCAUAAUUAAACUUUAUGAUAAAAAAAAAA